ACAAGUGAAAGAAAACUGCCGAGCAGCCUGGAAGGAAAAGUUAAUCGGACAUAACAAGUUAAAACAGUUUGCAAGCUUCAAGCCAAACUGCUGAAUCUAGCGUCCAAGUUCUCCUUGAUAGCGUGACUCUGUGUUGUUGUCCUUCAUUCUUCUGUCUCUGUCUGUCAAAUCUCAGCGGAAUAUAAACCAACUAUUGUCACGCUCUGCUGGUUGGUGUGCUUGCAAGCAGAGAAUUCAUUGUCUGUUUUCAAUUGCAGAGCUGGGAUGCUCGUCGUCUGAUGGAGCGCUCUCGAGCUGUGAAGUGUCCAGAUAUCAGCGCUCACCUGGCUGGUACCAAGAAGGUUCAGCAGGUGCUCGCCAGACCUGGAGUCCUGGAGAGGUUCUUCCCAGACCAGCCUCAAGCUGUGCAGCAGAUCCGAGCGGCAUUCGCUGACCUCUACACUAUACAUGUGGAGAAAAAGGACACGAUUUUUUCAUUGUUUGGAAAAUUUGGCAUUAGAUAAUCCUCACCUGGGUUUUGCUAUCUAGUGUAGGCAAUAUCAUUCACAUUUUAUUCCUGUGAUUUAUUUUCUGUGGUUGCGCUCGUCUACAGGGUCCAGAGAUCUAUAAAACAGUAUCAAUGGCCUUGCAGCAGCAGAACGGUUUGUCUCGAAGCCUCAGCGAGAAGAAGGAGGUACAGCGAGGGGACAAAAGCAUCUUUAAAAAUGUUGGCAAUGCAGCAAAUGCUGAAACUUCUGUUUGUUUCUCACCAUUUGUUAAACUAGGGAAGCUUAAGCAGUGCAUGGAUCUGCACACACAUGCAGCAUUUGCUUGCAUUCCAUGUAUGAGCUAGCCUCAGUCAAAACAGUGACGACACAAACAUGACUGCCUGCUGUUUUGCAUUACUGUGUAUCUACUGUGAUUCAUAGAUGCUGUACUGUGACUGAGAUAAUAGUGUAUACGAGACACACUUGACAACAACAUUGAUUAAGAUGUGAAAAAGCUACGGCUGACUAACCACCCUGCCUUACAUCACUCUGGGCUAAUACUGUAAAAAGCAAUAAUUAGUUUUCUUUGUAAUAUCAGAUCAUUUGUUUUGAUAAAUACAUAGUUCAGUAUCAGGGUUCACAUGAGCUAUUUUAGCAGUAAUUUUACACUCCACUAUGAUAGUAUUUCACUGUUAAUCAUAUUAGCAAGGAAGCUAGGGUUUGUAAUUCAUUCUUAAUUUAGCCACGCUGCAUGAAUUUGGAUGAUAACACUUUUGAAAAUGGCAGUUUAAUUUAUUGGGCAAUUAUAAAAUCGUAUUUCUUAGGCUGGCUUUUAAGGAAGCCUGGGAAGAAAGAUGGAGGUGGAAAGGAUGUGCAAGCUGUGGGACAAAGUUGCUGAGACUAGGUUAAAAAGAGGUGAGGAUCAGUGAGCAGGAGUGUGGCUUUGUGCUGAAAAGAGCACAACAGAUUGUCUGGAGAGAAGGUGAAGGAAAGUCAGCUGAAGCAAGACAGUUUGUGGAGUUUGUGUUGGACUGUAUGUUAUGCUGGGAGCCUGGGGAUUAGUGGACUUUGAUUCCAAGUUAAUACUAGCUAGUGUUUCUCACUGGUUUUUGGGUGGUGGAGUAAAAGGGAUUGGUUGGUGGCUGUUUCUAAUGUUAGCCUUGUCUUGGUUUUCUUACAGGCAGGGUAAAGACAUGGUGAUGAAUGAGUGUGUGGGCCGUCUGCUGAGGACCAAGAGCUCAGGACAGUCAGACGGGGGCGUCGCAGCAGGAGUCACCGUGCUCGACAACCCUCUGCUGUUCUGAGAUGUCACACUCCUGCCUGCACAUACAAACCACAGUGAAGUCAGAGUUCCACCUGCACCUCCACCUGUUCUUGCAACAGCAUGAAAACUGACAGAGGGUGAAGAGCAGUUAGCAGUGCAUUCAUGGACAUCUUUAAACUAUUAAUUGAAGAAUCUUUGGUCAUGAUGGCAUGAACUAGAAACGUGAGCUCCAGGUGAGACUGCACAGAAGAACAAGUGUCCUUAAACUGCAUCAACUGAUGACGUCUUACAAUUUUAUUCUACUGUGUGUUUUUAUCAUUGAACGUUUAUGUCUUUGUGUACACAUACGAACACAAGCUACUGUAACCUAGAGAAGCUCAGCAAUAUUUAAGUACACAAACAGUUCCAGGUGCUGGACUGUUUGAAGACCCCACUUUGGAUCAUGUGAAGGACAUUUCGUUUUUUGUUACAGGCAUUGAAGGGUUAAUGCUGUUAAUUGCAUAGUGCAGUGAUAGAUAACGUGGUAGAGCUGGUCCAGCUUGUGAACCAAAGAAUAAUAUCUAGUAUGCUGUGAAUGAAAAAAAUAAAUGGUAUGACUGUUCAUUUACCAAACCCUAACCUGUGAGAUCAGGCUCACAUCUCUGAUCAUAGAAAUGGGGAACUUUUCAGGAAAUGUACUUCAAAAAAUAAAAACAAGAGUAAGAUGGGAAAGUCAGAAGGAAAUAAGACACUUUCUCAAUUGUGAGAAAUUCUGUGAGAAUUUUAGCUGGAUUGUCUGUGGUAUAACUGGCAUGUAACAAGAGGAGUCACCCACUGCUGCCCAUUACAAAGGAAGAGGUUUUAGGACUUCCAAACCAUCUUCACUGUUCCCAUCAGGAGGCAUCUAUUUCUUUGUUACACCCUAUGCUUUGAGAAAUACACUAUUGUCACACCACAGUGAGCCAGUUGCAUGAACAGCAGCCUAAUCAGACUUCUGCAGAGUCUCAAAGUUCUUUUGGAUUCUGCUUCUUGUGUCCAACAGGAAGAAUUCUGUCCAUAAACAAAGGAUUUUAAAAUGUACCAUUUUUUUCUUUUUACUUUUGUACAGUAACCUAAAAUUAUUAUUGCCUCAAAAGGAUUUAUCCUCUGAUCUAUGGGUUUUUUGUUUUUUAAAUGUUGUUCUAAGCGGCCAACGAAUUGUUAAUGCAUGAUUAAAGUGAAUUGUUAAUUUCUGGUUUUACUAUAAACAGACUGGGGACGCUUGUGUUUUCUUUCUUCCUCAAAUGAUCAGAUAAGACUUGAGUAAAAGAAAUAAUGCAAAGGCAUUUUGCUGUGUUCACAGAGGGUCUUGAGGGUCUGUGUAAACGGAAAGAUCUUGGCGAUGGGGCAUAAAUUUGGGCACCACAAAAAAGAAAUGAAAUCAAUAUUUAGUAGAUCCGCCUUUUGCAGAAAUUACAGCCUCUAAACGCUUCCUGUAGGUUCCAAUGAGAGUCUGGAUUGUGGUUGAAGGUAUUUUGGACCAUUCCUCUUUACAAAACAUCUCUAGUUCAUUCAGGUUUGAUGGCUUCCAAGCAUGGACAGCUCUCUUUAACUCACACCACAGAUUUUCAAUAAUAUUCAGGUCUGGGGGCUGAGAUGGCCAUUCCAGAACGUUGUUCUUGUUCCUCUGCAUGAAUGCCUUAGUGGACUUUGAGCAGUGUUUCGGGUCGUUGUCUUCUUGAAACAUCCAGCCCCAGCGCAGCUUCAGCUUUCUCACUGAUUCCUGGACACUGGUCUCCAGAAUCUGCUGAUACUGAGUGGAAUCCAUGUGUCCCUCAACUUUGACAAGAUUCCCAGUACCUCCACUGGCCACAUAGCCCACAGCAUGAUGGAACCACCACCAUAUUUCACUGUAGGUAGCAGGUGUUUUUCUUGGAAUGCUGUGUUCUUUUUCCUCCAUGCAUGACGCCCCUUGUUAUGCCCAAAUAACUCAAUUUUCGUUUCAUCAGUCCACAGCACCUUAUUCCAGAAUGAAGCUGCCUGUCCAAAUGUGCUUUAGCAUACCUCAAGCGGCUCUGUUUGUGCUGUGGGCGGAGAAAAGGCUUCCUCUGCAUCACUCUCGCAUACAGCAUCUCCUUGUGUAAAGUGCGCCGAAUGGUUGAACGAUGCACAGUGACUCCAUCUGCUGCAAGAUGAUGUUGUAGGUCUUUGGUGACAAGGACCCCGUGGAGCGAGGCGUCCUCAACCUCUCCACAGCACAGGUGGAAUACAGCGAAGACCAGCAGGCCAUGCUUAAGAUCUAAGCUGGCGAGGCGACGCAGCGGCCUGAUGAAGAACUGAGCUUGCGGAGCGGUAUGCGGGAAAACCACCACUUCCAUCCUUUCUGAAAAGCCUUUGAAAAUACCGAAAAUACCAAGUGUUAAAACUUAUUAAUCAUUGUGAUUCUUGACAGUUUGCUCUUGUAAGUAGACUUGUGGCUUAAGUCUCUUUUCAUGCGACUAAAACGUUGAAGUUCCACAGAACUUUUGCCUCCCCGCUUCCCUCCAGCAACCCCGCUGCCAACUUAGCUUUCCUCCUCUCUAUUCCCUCCCCUCAGCUUUUUGUGUUUUUGUUUCCAUGACAAUGUUUGGGUCUAAUUUUGUUCUGCUUCGUUGUCAUUCCCAAACUCCCCUAAGUAGCAUGUUGUAGUAGUCUACUUGUGUGUGCACGACUCUCCAGGAACUUUCCGUUUGCCAAUCAUCUGUACAAAAAAAUGUCGCUAUCAGUUUUAUUUGUCUCCUGAAAUGAGUUUCAUUCUAUUUUGGGGGUUUUUUUGUUGUUGGUUUUUUAUUAAAUUAACAUGCUUGCAUGAUACCUGCAGCAGUCCUUGGGAGAAGACCAGGUUUGCUCAGUUUAAAACAAAAAACAAAAAUUAACCAAAUCAGCCAGCUUACAUUUGAAACCAUGAAGGAAAAAUCUACAGAUCUCUCCAAGUGACGUGUUAGUUUAUGCUCUGCUACCUAAACUAUAGCUGCUAAUAGAUUUAUAGGUUAUUUUUCUUCUCGCAGUGACAUUUGCAUCAGGCUGAAACAGGCUCUGAAAAAAAAAAAAAAUCAAAGUGGGAAUGAAAUUUGACAGGAGGGCCACGCCCGAUUUCCACGGUUAUCCACGUUAUACUUAGAUCCUCCUCAAUCUGUGUACAUAUGGCACCACUAAACCCCCGAUAGUGCCAGUGUCAGUUAGUGAGUCAGUAAAAUACUCAUGCAUUUGUGUUAACAUAAAAACUGCAGACUAACUAGAGACAAACAAGCGAGGAUCGCUUCAUAUCUCAGCAGUUUAAAAA